UUUUUGAUCCACGCACGCCUUUGUUUUGGCUUCCCAGGUGCCAAGGGAAAACGGCUAGCAGUGAGUGCGUUCGUUUCCCGGCCUCCCUCGGCAGCCAGCCCCUCUGGCUCAGCCAGCUGGAUCACACUGAAUUAGUCAAGUACUUCAUUACCGACCCUCUCUGCACAUUUUGCUCCAGAAAGGUCCAUGGAGGCAGAGAGGAUGUGCAGAUCAAAUAAGAAAGGAGAAGGAGGUCUGAGGGAAAAACACUAAUGAAAUACAUGUGACGACACCGAAGGCAUCGCAGAUUAACACCAGCGAAAUGAGCCACGGGCACCUGAUCUCCCAGCUUUGGCCAGAACCUCCUAGAAACUCACCAGCUCUCUACUGUUCCUUGCUUGGCAGUCUCUCUCAGCUGUACCUGCGUAACAGAAGGAGACACAACUGGGGAUUUUGCUUUUGUUUUGUAGUUUGCUUGUUGUUUAUUUGUUUGCUCUGAGUAGUUUUACUCUGGUCUGAACAGGGAGAAGGCACUCUGUGCAUUUUUGGUUUUUGGCAGGGCGCCGGUCUAAACAGUUUAUUUUCUAAAAUAUAUCUAUCUGCCAAUUA